rnacentral:rRNA from 1 species
GACAGAGGCCCCGAGCGUUAGGCGGAAUCACUGGGCUUAAAGCGUGUGUAGGCGGAUCGUUAAGUGUCUUGUGAAAUCCCACGGCUCACCCGUGGAACUGCUGGGCAUACUGGCGAUCUUGGGCCAACUAGGGGCAACUGGAACAAGCGGUGGAGCGGUGAAAUGCGUAGAUAUCGCUUGGAACGCCGAAGGUGAAAACAGGUUGCUGGGGUUGUGCCGACGCUGAGACACGAAAGCCAGGGGAGCAAACGGG